rnacentral:rRNA from 1 species
UACGUAGGUCCCGAGCGUUGUCCGGAUUUAUUGGGCGUAAAGCGAGCGCAGGUGGUUUAUUAAGUCUGGUGUAAAAGGCAGUGGCUCAACCAUUGUAUGCAUUGGAAACUGGUAGACUUGAGUGCAGGAGAGGAGGGUGGAAUUCCAUGUGUAGCGGUGAAAUGCGUAGAUAUAUGGAGGAACACCGGUGGCGAAAGCGGCUCUCUGGACGAUAACUGACGUUGAGGCACGAAAGUGUGGGGAGCAAACAGG